GAUCCUGGCUCAGGACGAACGCUGGCGGCGUGCUUAACACAUGCAAGUCGAACGGAGAACUUUCUUCGGAAUGUUCUUAGUGGCGAACGGGUGAGUAACGCGUAGGCAACCUGCCCUCUGGUUGGGGACAACAUUCCGAAAGGGAUGCUAAUACCGAAUGUGAUCCUUCUUUCGCAUGAAGGAAGGAUGAAAGAUGGCCUCUACUUGUAAGCUAUCGCCAGAAGAUGGGCCUGCGUCUGAUUAG
rnacentral:rRNA from 1 species